AAAUUUGUCUCUACUAAUAAACAAAGGUCCUAAUUAAUUAAUAUGUUUGAAAGAUUCCAAAAUGAUUUCAACAAAUAGGUCCCAGAGCUGGGCAAACCAUCUUCAUCAAAAGCUCAGGCUUCAUUAUUCAGGAACUGGGCAAGCCUGGGCCUGUGACAAUUUCUGUGCUCAAUAGUAAAUUACUGGGCUGCCAAUUAAUUUUUCACGGCCUAAGUGGUCCACGCCUUGAGCCUAAGCUCAUAUGAAAUUUGUUGAGUAGUAAUUAUAGGUUAUAUGCCUCAAUUCAAACAUUUUUACUAGUGAGAGAUUUAAGCUAUGGAAAAUAUCAAGGAUUGUAGAGAAUAAGUAAUAUUCAAAGUGACUAACAACCACUGGCAAAGGCACCCGAUUAAUGUUACUGUUAGUGUUAUUAUCAACUUAGGGUCAAAUCUGAAAAAAUUACACAAUCUAGUUAUAUUUAUUUAAUGCCAAGUACUACCUCUACCUGAACACUUGUGAAUUAAUACAACAAUGAACCAACGGCUAACCAAUCAGGAAUUUCAUAAAGUCUUUAGUUUCCAAUUCCUAAGCUAAUCAUUUUCCUUUAAGCUUUUAACAAAUGGUGAAAUACAUCAUGAAUUCUACAAUAAAAUCGAACCAAUCUUAUUGAAUAUAGAAAACACAUAAAAUCAGAAGAAAAACUCAAAUGAGCUUAACAGUCCAAUUUGAAUUAGUAAUGCAAACAGUUCAAAUCAUUAGCAACAGUCCUAAUUAUACAGUCUGCAUACCUAUUGUCCGUGUUACUACAAGUUGAGCCUAAACCAUUACAACCAAAUACACAUUAACUAGAAUAUAUCGAAUUAUCCAAGUGAAUACAUCUUGAAGUAGAGAAUAUGUUCAAGCUUUAUUUCACUUCCAUUUCCACAUUUACAUCGAGGUGGUUUGAGAUAUGUACCUGGAAUUCGAACAGAAAUAAGAAGGAGAGGAUGUCGGUAGCAACAGAUGCCAAACAGCUGAUCGAGAUCAAGUUCACAAGCCAAUACACAACAACAAAUUACUCCAGAUUUGAGUUUUAAACACAACGUCAACACAAUAACUUGAAUAAACCCAAAUAGUAAACAAACUAACCCAGAAAUCAUCCCCAACCAGUAAUUGAUCCAACAACUAACUCAACUCAAACCAAUUUAAUCCAAGAAUGAUUCAAACAUUGUCAGAUUUUGAAUAAGAGCAGAAGGAGAAAAGCUCAAGUUGUUUCUGAUCCUAAGCGAGCUAAAGAGAUGAAUUACUAGCUGAAAAUCUGAGAAAAGUUCUAGUAAGGCAAUGAAAUAGUAAUUUUUUUUUUGAUUUUUCUGUUUUUCGUUGUUUUUGCAUUUUAAAUGUUUGAAUUUCAAGGUCAGAUCUGAAAAUCAGAGAAGAGCUUUUGUGGGGGAAAUUUGAUGGUUGAAACUUGUUUCUUAGGGCAUUUGUGAUGCCUUUUAUAGGCACAAAUAAGACGGUAUCAGAUUUUUAACUUUAAAAAACAAUCCCCCCUCAUUUUUAGCUUUAGUCCUCUAUUUAUUAAUUUAUGCCUCAAGUCACUACCUUUAAACUUCUAAAAUUGUGACUAAAGUCCUAUUCUAGAGCAUUCUAGUAAGUUCUUGCUCAAUUGAAAUUCCUAAACACACUUCCCUCAUUCUAAAAUUAACAAAUUAGCUUCAACUAAACUCAACCUCUUUAAUUUAGUCAGAAUUCAUCUAUAGCCCAAUAAACUUUUAAACUAAAUUUAACCAAUCAACCUAAACCAAAUCUUUUAUUCUAAUUGAACUUUAACUAUAGUUAACUAGGAAUUGAAAUUACUCAAAUAUAUCUAAUAUGGCCUAAAACUAAUUUGAAGUUAAUCAAAAUAACAACUAAUCAUCAGCAAGCAACAAUUAAACUUAAAACAGAAACCUAUCGAAACCUUAAAGCAUAAAAAUUAGACCUGCAGAAUCAAACAUGAAACUUAACUAAUCAUGCAAAACAAUUACUACAUCAAUCUUUCUAACAAUCUAACUAAACCAACAUACCAAAUAGAAGAACAGAUAUAGAGACUUGAAAAAGAAAAGACAUCAAGAAGGAAUCUGAAACAGAAAAUAAAGAGAACACACUUACUGAAAAAAAUAAAGAAGAAAUCCGGCCAGUUAUCAAUUUUCCAGUUCGGCCAUUUUCAGUGAUAUUUGAACGCCCUAGGUGGUGGAAUCUUCAUGAGGAUGGUGAGGGAAUCAUAUGGUCUCAAUUUGGUGUAAUUUGGAGCAUUUUAGCUUUGGCCGGAAAUCAUUCAAAUCAAUAUUGGAAUGGUUCUGACCAUAUUCGAGGGACGAGGUUAGGAGGGCUUGAUAGAGGAGGGCUAGGCAGUCUUAUGGUGUUCAUCUGGUGAAGUUUGGGAAAAGUAGCAUUUUGGCCGGAGUUUUUUCGAUCUGAAUAUUCAAAGGUUUGAGGUGGGAUUCGAGGGAAGUGGGUGAUGUAUUCGGAUAGAGGAAGAGAAUAGGAGUAUAUGGUGUUAGUUUGGUAUAAUUUGGCGACGGGCCGCCGUGGUGGGCGAUUUCCGGCGGAGGUCCACGGUAGUGUUACACAUGGCUGUAAAUGGGUGUGUUUGGGAUGAUUAAACGGGGGUGGGGGAGGGGUGUUCCAACAUUAAAUAUUAUACACUCCCCACUAACGAUCAACUGACUACCACACCUAUGAUUUGAUGUUAUCCAAACGGCAUUGUUUCAGUUGAAGGGGGACUGGACGGGGUUGGGGUUAAAUUGGACCUGGGCGUGGGGUGAUGUUGGGCUAAAAUAACGGCCAUUUG
rnacentral:lncRNA from 1 species